GUGCAGAGAGGCUGAGGAACAAGAAGAGAAAGUGACACCACCAUUACUUUACAUAAGCUGGAAACUUUCUCUUCUUUUUCCAGGUACUUCAGAAGUGGCUUUUUCCAGGAGUAAUUGGAGAAGACAGUUCUACCCCUUUCCCCACACUACCCUCCACCAAAACCAGACAGAUCUCUCUGUUUCAGGCAGCUCCUGCUUUCCUGUCAGGUGGGAGGAUGAGACUUAAGCAACAGCACCUCCAAAAGCAAUGAAACCUCGAGGAUGAGGAACUGGGAAGUGGGUGGGAACUCUUCCCAGCCAUCACAUGACUUUUAUUCAUCCUCCUCCUUGGGAAUGAGGUAAAUUUCCAUUUUCAGACAACGUGCUUUGCCUGGUAUCUACAAGAAACAAAUUCAGAAUGCCAUGAUUCAUUUAAAAAGCAUCUUUAUUUCACCUGCAAAAACUUGUGUUAUACCACAAAUCAGGGAAUGAUUGAAAGGUUGAACAGCUGUAAUUUUAGUUCAGUUGCUCUGUGAGGGAUGAUGUCCUUUACAGCUCUCUCCAUGGAGAUUCCGGGAAUUUUGUUAACAUUCCCAUCGUGUUCCAGCACUAAGAUUACAGUCAACAAACAGGGCACUGUUUGAAGUUGGUCACGGAAGAAGCUCCCAGCACCCUUCCAAGUGACACUUCCACCUCACCUGCCUGGAAAGGGAGGAAUCUCCCUGCUGCGUCCCAGAGCUCCUCCUGCUCACUAUGAUCUGGGAGGGGAAGGGAAAGGAAAGAGAGAGGGGAGGCAGGCGACCAAGAGGAAUAGGGAGACGAGGGAAAAUGCUGGCCUCAGAGUAUCAGGAGACAGCAGGGCAGCUCCUCUUCUAGGAAUGUGAGAGGAUCUCUGUGCUGAUGAGUCAGUCCAUUGGUAUUGAUUUCUGAGCGCAGCCCAAAAUAGACACUCAGGGAGAAGAGGAGCAAAACCUGGGUGAGUGUAUUUUGAUGCUUCCCUGCUAAAUUUUUCCAGUGGUGCCAAAGAAAAUCACAGCUGUCUCCUUCCAGUGUCAGAAGUUACUGGGCAUGAGGAAAAUGAAAGAGGAUGUCUCAGUUUUGAGGAAUAUUUAGGGAUUAGCACUUUGAUUA
rnacentral:lncRNA from 1 species